AUUGAACGCUGGCGGCAUGCCUUACACAUGCAAGUCGAACGGCAGCACGGGAGCAAUCCUGGUGGCGAGUGGCGAACGGGUGAGUAAUAUAUCGGAACGUGCCCAGUCGUGGGGAUAACGUAGCGAAAGUUACGCUAAUACCGCAUACGAUCUAAGGAUGAAAGCGGGGGAUCGCAAGACCUCGCGCGAUUGGAGCGGCCGAUAUCAGAUUAGGUAGUUGGUGGGGUAAAGGCUCACCAAGCCGACGAUCUGUAGCUGGUCUGAGAGGACGACCAGCCACACUGGGACUGAGACACGGCCCAGACUCCUACGGGAGGCAGCAGUGGGGAAUUUUGGACAAUGGGCGCAAGCCUGAUCCAGCAAUGCCGCGUGCAGGAUGAAGGCCUUC
rnacentral:rRNA from 1 species